CUUGUCUUGAUCCCUUGUAUUGUUCAAUGUGAGAACCCCCUCUGCCACCACUUCACCAGAAACAAAACCUACUCCCUCUCUCUAAUACCCUCUUCUUCCCCUACUCUUUCUCUGCCUUCUCUCUACCAAACUCACCUAAAGAAUUUCUGCAGUAGGUCUAAUCCUCUUCCCUAUUGCAGAAUUUAGGGCUGAAGCAAGAUCAGAACCACUUCCUCAAGCUGAGUCUUCCUUUCCUGCGCUGCCUUAGGUUGGAGUUUGAGGUAUUCUCCUUGGUUGAAGAGUCAAUUCUAGCGGAAAUUCCAAAGGGCCGAGUCCAGAUGAUGAUGUCCCUCUCUCUAGCAGGAGCUGAGUGAUCGUUGAGUAGUUCCGUGGUAGUGCUCAUGGAUUAGAUACCAUGUAGUUUUAAGAUGUUUUAGUUUAUGUUUGAGUACCUAUGUUCUUCACUAGAAAUUUAUAGGAUAUGUUUUUGGAUGACUGUAUCAGCUGUAUCAUCUAUAUUG